UACGUAGGGAGCAAGCGUUGUCCGGAAUCAUUGGGCGUAAAGCGCGUGUAGGCGGUUACAUAAGUCUGUUGUGAAAGUUGGAGGCUCAACCUUCGAAAGCCGAUGGAUACUGUGUGACUUGAGUACGGAAGAGGAGAGUGGAAUUCCUGGUGUAGCGGUGGAAUGCGCAGAUAUCAGGAGGAACACCGGUGGUGUAGACGGCUUUCUGGACCGUAACUGACGCUGAGACACGAAAAGCGUGGGUAGCAAACAGG
rnacentral:rRNA from 1 species